GACGAACGCUGGCGGCGUGCUUAACACAUGCAAGUCGAACGGAAAGGCCCUGCUUUUGUGGGGUGCUCGAGUGGCGAACGGGUGAGUAACACGUGAGUAACCUGCCCUUGACUUUCGGAUAACUUCAGGAAACUGGGGCUAAUACAGGAUAGGAGCUCCUGCUGCAUGGUGGGGGUUGGAAAGUUUCGGCGGUUGGGGAUGGUCUCGCGGCUUAUCCGCUUGUUGGUGGGGUAGUGGCUUACAAAGGUUUUGACGGGUAGCCGGCAUGGGCGGGGGACCGGCCACAUUGGGACUGAGCUACGGCCCAGACUCCUACGGGAGGCAGCAGUGGGGAAUAUUGCACAAUGGGCGGAAGCCUGAUGCAGCAACGCCGCGUGCGGGAUGACGGCCUUCGGGUUGUAAACCGCUUUCGCCUGUGACGAAGCGUGAGUGACGGUAAUGGGUAAAGAAGCACCGGCUAACUACGUG
rnacentral:rRNA from 1 species